GGCUUUCUUCGCGGCGGAGCUCGACCGCCCACACAGGUUCUGAUCGCCUACAUCGAGGAACACCGUGAGGAGUUCGGGGUCGAGCCGAUCUGUCGCGUGCUGAAGGAGCACGGUGUCGAGAUCGCCCCG
rfam:Nocardioides sp. Soil797 contig_5, whole genome shotgun sequence.